UACAGAGGGGGCAAGCGUUAUUCGGAAUUAUUGGGCGUAAAGGGCGCGUAGGCGGCUAGAUGUGUCAAAGGUGAAAUCCCUCGGCUCAACUGAGGAACUGCCUUCGAAACUGUCUGGCUUGAGGCCGGGAGAGGGUAGCGGAAUUCCCAGUGUAGCGGUGAAAUGCGUAGAUAUUGGGAGGAACACCAGUGGCGAAGGCGGCUACCUGGACCGGUUCUGACGCUGAGGCGCGAAAGCGUGGGUAGCAAACAGG
rnacentral:rRNA from 1 species